rnacentral:rRNA from 1 species
GAUGAACGCUGGCGGCGUGCUUAACACAUGCAAGUCGAACGAUAAAGCCCAGCUUGCUGGGUGGAUUAGUGGCGAACGGGUGAGUAACACGUGAGUAACCUGCCCUUGACUCUGGGAUAAGCCCGGGAAACUGGGUCUAAUACCGGAUAGGAGCGCCUGUCGCAUGACGGGUGUUGGAAAGAUUUUUCGGUCAUGGAUGGACUCGCGGCCUAUCAGCUUGUUGGUGAGGUAAUGGCUCACCAAGGCGACGACGGGUAGCCGGCCUGAGAGGGUGACCGGCCACACUGGGACUGAGACACGGCCCAGACUCCUACGGGAGGCAGCAGUGGGGAAUAUUGCACAAUGGGCGGAAGCCUGAUGCAGCGACGCCGCGUGAGGGAUGACGGCCUUCGGGUUGUAAACCU